rnacentral:rRNA from 1 species
GUAGGUGGCAAGCGUUGUCCGGAUUUAUUGGGUUUAAAGGGUGCGUAGGCGGUUUUCUAAGUCAGCAGUGAAAUACGGCAGCUCAACUGUCGAGGUGCUGUUGAUACUGGGGAACUUGAGUACUGAUGAGGUAGGCGGAAUGGACGGUGUAGCGGUGAAAUGCUUAGAGAUCGUCCAGAACACCGAUAGCGAAGGCAGCUUACUAAGGAGUAACUGACGCUGAGGCACGAAAGUGUGGGGAUCAAACAGGAUUAGAUACCCUGGUAGUCCACACUGUAAACGAUGAUUACUCGAUGUGUGCGAUACACGGCACGCGUCUUAGCAAAAGCGAUAAGUAAUCCACCUGGGGAGUACGCCGGCAACGGUG